UACGGAGGGGGCUAGCGUUGUUCGGAAUUACUGGGCGUAAAGCGCACGUAGGCGGCUUUGUAAGUUAGAGGUGAAAGCCCGGGGCUCAACUCCGGAAUUGCCUUUAAGACUGCAUCGCUUGAAUUGUGGAGAGGUAAGUGGAAUUCCGAGUGUAGAGGUGAAAUUCGUAGAUAUUCGGAAGAACACCAGUGGCGAAGGCGACUUACUGGACACAUACUGACGCUGAGGUGCGAAAGCGUGGGGAGCAAACAGG
rnacentral:rRNA from 1 species